CCAUGCAUUGCUGUGUCCUCGUGCAUGGCGUCGCCAUGCAUUGCUGUGUCCUCGUGCAUGGCAUCGCCAUGCAUUGCUGUGUCCUCGUGCAUGGCGUCCCCAUGCAUUGCUGUGUCCUCGUGCAUGUCGUCCCCAUGCAUUGCUGUGUCCAUGCGUGUCACAUCCCUGUGCACCUCCGUGUCUGCAUGAGUCACGUCCCCAUGCAUCAUCACAUCCCCAUGCAUUGCUGUGUGUGUGUGUCACAUCCUCCUGCAUUGCAUUUCAAUGCAUCACCGUCCCCAUGCAUCGCCAUCCCCAUGCAUUGCUCUGUGUGUCACAUCCUCCUGCAUUGCAUCCCCAUGCAUCACAUCCCCAUGCAUUGCAGUGGGUGUGUGUCACAUCCCCAUGCACCCCCAUCCCCAUGCAUUGCACCCCCAUGCAUCACCACCCCCAUGCAUUGCUCUCUGUGUGUGUCACAUCCCCAUGCAUCACUGUCUGCAUGCAUCGCAUCCCCAUGCACCCCCAUCCUCCUGCAUUGCAUCCCCAUGCAUCACAUCCCCAUGCAUUGCAGUGGAUGUGUGUCACAUCCCCAUGCAUCCCCAUCCCCAUGCAUUGCAUCCCCAUGCACCCCCAUCCCCAUGCAUUGCAUCCCCAUGCAUUGCUCUCUGUGUGUGUCACAUCCUCCUGCAUUGCACCCCCAUGCAUCACCAUCCGCAUGCAUCACAUCCCCAUGCACCCCCAUCCUCCUGCAUUGCAUCCCCAUGCAUCACAUCCCCAUGCAUUGCAGUGGGUGUGUGUCACAUCCCCAUGCACCCCCANCAUCCCCAUGCACCCCCAUCCUCCUGCAUUGCAUCCCCAUGCAUCACAUCCCCAUGCAUUGCAGUGGGUGUGUGUCACAUCCCCAUGCACCCCCACCCCCCCCCCCCCCCACCCCCCACCCCCCCCACAGCGUGUCACUGCGUGUUCAUUGCGUGUUCAUUGCGUGUCACUGCUUGUUCCAUGCAUGUCAUUGUGUGUUCCAUGCGUGUCACGGCGUGUCACGGCGUGUCACUGCUUGUUCCAUGCGUGUCAACGUGUGUUCCAUGCAUGUCAAUGUGUGUUCCAUGCGUGUCACUGCUUGUUCCAUGCGUGUUAGUGUGUGUUCCAUGCGUGUCACUGCGUGUUCCAUGUGUGUCACAGCAUGUUCCAUGUGUGUCACUCUGUGUUCCAUGUGUGCCAAUGCGUGCCCCAUGCAUGUCACUGCGUGUGCGAAGUGCCGUGUGUGAGCCGUGUGCUGCAUGUCAUGCGUAGUGGGCUGCAUGUGUCACACCGUGCAGCAACACGUUUAACAUGUGUCAUCACACCUAACAUGUGUGUCAUCCCGUGUUCCACGUGUGUCAUCCCAUGUUCCAAGUGUGACAUCCCAUGUUCCAUGUGUGUCAUCCCGUGUUCCAUUUGUGAAAUCCCAUGUUCCACGUGUGUCAUUCCAUGUUCCAUGUGUGUCAUCCCAUGUUCCACGUGUGUCAUCCCAUGUUCCCUGUGUGUCAUCCCAUGUUCCACGUGUGUCAUCCCAUGUUCCAUGUGUGUCAUCCCAUGUUCCAUGUGUGUCAUCCCAUGUUCCACGUGUGUCAUCCCAUGUUCCAUGUAUGUCAUCCCGUGUUCCAUGUGUGACAUCCCAUGUUCCACGUGUGUC
rnacentral:lncRNA from 1 species